rnacentral:tRNA from 1 species
ACCUAGCUGGCUCAUUUGGUGGAGCGCGUGACUCUUGAUCUUGAGGUUAUGGGUUCCAGCCCCCUGCUGGGUG